CGUGUAGGCGGAUGGGGACGUCGGUUGCUGAAAUCCCCCGGCUCAACCGGGGAACGGGCGCCGAAACGCCCCGUCUGGAGGGACGUAGGGGGACCUGGAACUUCCGGUGGAGCGGUGAAAUGCGUUGAGAUCGGAAGGAACGCCCGUGGCGAAAGCGAGGUCCUGGACGUUUUCUGACGCUGAGACGCGAAAGCUAGGGUAGCGAACGGGAUUAGAUACCCCGGUAGUCCUAGCUGUAAACGAUGGGCACUGGGUAGGGGGCUCGCCGAUGGGCUCUCUGCCGCAGGGAAACCGUGAAGUGCCCCGCCUGGGGAGUAUGGUCGCAAGGCUGAA
rnacentral:rRNA from 1 species